AGGAUAAACGCUGGCGGCGUGCCUAACACAUGCAAGUCGAACGUCCUACGCAAGUAGGGAGUGGCGGACGGGUGAGUAACACGUGGGCAAUCUACCUUUCGGUGAGGAAUACCGGCGAGAAAUCGCCGACAAUACCGCAUACGCUUCGCAAGAAGCAAAGUCGCAAGACGCCGGAGGAGGGGCCUGCGCCCGAUUAGCUGGUUGGUGGAGUAAUGGUCUACCAAGGCGACGAUCGGUAGCUGGUCUGAGAGGAUGAUCAGCCACACUGGGAUUGAGAACGGCCCAGACUCCUACGGGGGGCAGCAGUGAGGAAUCUUGGACAAUGGGCGCAAGCCUGAUCCAGCCAUGCCGCGUGAGUGAAGAAGGCCUUCGGGUUGUAAAGCUCUUUUGUCAGGGACGAUAAUGACGGUACCUGAAGAAUAAGCCCGGCAAACUUCGUGCCAGCAGCCGC
rnacentral:rRNA from 1 species